AGAGUUUGAUCCUGGCUCAGGAUGAACGCUAGCGGCAGGCCUAAUACAUGCAAGUCGAACGGUGAUAGCAAUAUCAUAGUGGCGCACGGGUGCGUAACACGUAUGCAACCUACCUAUUAUUGGGGGAUAGCCUUUGGAAACGGAGAUUAAUACCGCAUAAUACGAUUGACUGGCAUCGGUUGAUUGUUAAAGCUUCGGCGAUAAUAGAUGGGCAUGCGUCCAAUUAGUUAGUUGGUUAGGUAACGGCUGACCAAGACGAUGAUUGGUAGGGGAUCUGAGAGGAUAAUCCCCCACACUGGCACUGAGAUACGGGCCAGACUCCUACGGGAGGCAGCAGUAGGGAAUAUUGGGCAAUGGGCGGAAGCCUGACCCAGCCAUGCCGCGUGCAGGAAGAAGGCGUUAUGCGUUGUAAACUGCUUUUUUAUAGGAAGAAGGAUCCCUUGCGAGGGAAGGUGACGGUACUAUAAGAAUAAGCACCGGCUAACUCCGUGCCAGCAGCCGCGGUAAUACGGAGGGUGCAAGCGUUGUCCGGAUUUAUUGGGUUUAAAGGGUGCGUAGGCGGUUUAUUAAGUCAGUGGUGAAAGACGGUCGCUCAACGAUUGCAGUGCCAUUGAUACUGGUAGACUUGAGUGAGAUUGAGGUAGCUGGAAUGGAUAGUGUAGCGGUGAAAUGCAUA
rnacentral:rRNA from 1 species